rnacentral:rRNA from 1 species
GACGAACGCUGGCGGCGUGCUUAACACAUGCAAGUCGAACGGAAAGGCCCUGCUUUUGUGGGGUGCUCGAGUGGCGAACGGGUGAGUAACACGUGAGUAACCUGCCCUUGACUUUGGGAUAACUUCAGGAAACUGGGGCUAAUACCGGAUAGGAGCUCCUGCUGCAUGGUGGGGGUUGGAAAGUUUCGGCGGUUGGGGAUGGACUUGCGGCUUAUCAGCUUGUUGGUGGGGUAGUGGCUUACCAAGGCUUUGACGGGUAGCCGGCCUGAGAAGGUGACCGGCCACAUUGGGACUGAGAUACGGCCCAGACUCCUACGGGAGGCAGCAGUGGGGAAUAUUGCACAAUGGGCGGAAGCCUGAUGCAGCAACGCCGCGUGCGGGAUGACGGCCUUCGGGUUGUAAACCGCUUUCGCCUGUGACGAAGCGUGAGUGACGGUAAUGGGUAAAGAAGCACCGGCUAACUACGUG